ACUCCUACGGGAGGCAGCAGUGGGGAAUAUUGCACAAUGGGGGAAACCUUGAUGCAGCCAUGCCGCGUGUGUGAAGAAGGCCUUCGGGUUGUAAAGCACUUUCAGUAGGGAGGAAGGUAGUGUAGUUAACACCUGCACUAUUUGACGUUACCUACAGAAGAAGCACCGGCUAACUCCGUGCCAGCAGCCGCGGUAAUACGGAGGGUGCGAGCGUUAAUCGGAAUUACUGGGCGUAAAGCGCAUGCAGGCGGCCUGUUAAGUCAGAUGUGAAAGCCCGGGGCUUAACCUCGGAAUUGCAUUUGAAACUGGCAGGCUAGAGUCUUGGUAGAGGGGGGUAGAAUUUCAGGUGUAGCGGUGAAAUGCGUAGAGAUCUGAAGGAAUACCA
rnacentral:rRNA from 1 species